GGCUGUAGCUCAGUGGUAGAGCACCUGCCUUACAUGUGUGAGGCACUGGGUUUGAUCCUCAGCACCA
rnacentral:tRNA from 1 species